rnacentral:lncRNA from 10 species
UUUGCAAGUAACAAAAUCCUAACCUAAACUGGCUUAAACAAAAAGGGAAUUCAUGGGCUUACACAAACUGGAAAGCAGCAUUGGGCACAGCUGGAUUCAGGACUCAACAGGAUAAUCAGGACUCGGUUUCUCUCCAUUUCUCGGCUCUGUCUUCUGCUAUCAUUGGCUUAAGUCUCAAGUUUCAUGGGCAGUAGUUGUAGUAGUAGUAGCAGUUGGCAGUAGUGGUAGUACAUUCUCUUAACUUUCAGGUUCUGUUAAAAGAAGUAAGUUUCUCUCUCCAAGAUGUUCAACAAAAUCCUGAAUCUGCCUAUCAUUGGCUAGAAUUUUUUUCACAUACCCGUCUCUGGACCACUCCUGAGUCAGGGCAGGGAAGUCAGGCAAAGAGCCCUAGAUACAGCAAAACAGAGCUAAGCUGCCUUUUACUCCAAAGUCAUUUGGGGAACUGCAACUCCCUUUUCUCUUUCCUUUACCAAUAUAAGACUCAGGUUUGGUGUGAAGGAAAAUCUGACCCUGUAAAUUCAUUUAAAACUCAGUUAACAGACAUCGCGCCACUGCACUCCAGCCUGGGUGCACGCCACCAUGCCAGGCUAAUUUUUGUAUUUUUAGUAGAGAUGAUGUUUUGCCAUGUUCACCAGGCUAGUCUCUAACUCCUUACUUCAGGUGAUCUACCCAUCUUGGCCUCUCAAAGUGUUGGGAUUAGGUGUAAGCCACCGUGCCCGGCCUCAUCUGUAAUUUUUGCUACUUAUUCAUUACUUAGUCAUGUUUGGGAAAGAAAAGAUCAAGGAUAUUGAUUAAAAUGAGUUGGAAAUGAUUGUAGAGUUCAUAAAAGCUAUAUAUCUCUAUAUCGUAUCUUUGCAGAUAAAAUAGAAAUGAAUCAAUCCAUUCCUGGGUUUUAGCAUAUCAAUAAGAAUAGGAACCCUGCAUUAAUAAUAGGCUCCAAGUCUCAAGGCAUCAGGCUACAGAAGCUCUUCCAGGAAAGUAGCGUUUGCUCAAACUGCAUUAAGCAGUAGAGGGAAAUUUUUUGGCUAAUGUAAUUGAAAAGUUCAGGGGUAGUUAGCUUCAGGCACAGCUGGAUCUAGGGGCUCAAAUAAUGUCAUAAGAUAUCUGUAUUUUUCCUAUCUUUCAUCUCUGAUUUUGUGUCUUGGCUUAGUACUCUAGAAGGUGCUCCUUUUAAGUAAUAUAAUGACCUCCCAGAAGCAUCUAGGUUAUAAUCUAUCAGCUUUCAAACCUAGCAGAAACACAGAAUCUCUUUUCCAAUAGGUCUAGCAAAAAUCCUGAGAAUGACACUUAUUGGAUUGGCUUGGGUCACACACCCACAUCCUAAAUUAACGGCUGAAAGCAGGGAAGCAAACUGACCUGGUGUGAGUUGUAUGCUUUUCUCUGGAGCACAGAAGUGGCUCAACCCCUCAAGAACCAUAAAUGCUGGAAAUGUGGAGAAAAAAUGAUUUUCCAAAAGAAAGGCAGGAAGAGGAAUCAAAGGAAUAAACCAACCUGCUAAACAACAACAACAACAAAAAAACCCGGGUGUUUAGCAUACUUUCUCCACAACUCAAUGUCUUUAUCUGGAAAUAAUCCAACUCCACGAUGCUGCAGUCCCUGGGUACCCACUGAUGUGGGGGACAGGCAGAGAAAGGUGUGGUGUGUGGGCUGUUGCCCAGGCGCUGGUUAGGGCAACCAAGAUAGGCUCUUGGCAUUCUAGCAGUUAGUUCAGUAGGCCUGGAGGCUACAGUAAUUAUGAGUGAGUGCAGCUCAAUUAGGGGGUGAGGGGUGGGAUGGGAGACAGCAGGAUCAGGCCUGGGGAAAAACAGAUUGGUUUUCAAACAUCCAUUUGGGGUGGUUAUUAAACAAGCCUUUAGAACACUUCUAAGACCAGUAUUGUGCUACACCCUGCUGGGCGGCACUCUCAAGAUAUGACACUAGGAGAUAACACCUGCUGUUACUAGUGACUAGAAAACAAGGAAGAAGCAGCAAAGUUCGUCAAACGAAACAGGACAGUCAGGGACAGACCACUCAGUUAAUUAGAGGUCUUCUGAAAGGGUAUGGACUCAUAUAUUUUGCAGAAAUAACCUUUUCAUCAGUUGGGUUAAAAUAUAUAACAGCUUUGUGGUUUUUGUUUUACCAUUUUUAAUUAAAAAAUGAAAGAUCACAACCUUCCUCAAAACAUCUUGUCUUCCCAAUGGUAGAAAGUGAUCCUCACUCUAGGAGUGUGAUCUGAUACAGAAAGCCAAGAUAACUUUGGUUCAAAGCAGGCUAACCCGGGUACACAUUACUAGGUAAUAGAAUAAAUUACAGGUUAUUCAGAAAAAUAAAACAGAGGGUCUCAGCUAGAAAGAGAAACUUGUAGAGAUGCUCAAGGUCUGGAACUAGAGCACUAUAGAGCAAAUGAAAAUUCUUAUGGCUUUUCUAAACUCAGAAAUUUAAUUCAGUUUGAUACUCAAGAAAAUCUCUUAUUGCCUUCAAAUGAAAAAAAAAAAAAAAAGAGGGCUGGGCGCAGUGGCUCACGCCUGUAAUCCCAGAACUUUGGGAGGCCAAAGCGGGUGGAUCACCUG